GAACCUUACCUGGGCUCGAAAUGUAGUGGACUGGGGUAGAAAUAUCCCUUCCUAGCAAUAGGCUGCUAUAUAGGUGCUGCAUGGCUGUCGUCAGCUCGUGUCGUGAGAUGUUGGGUUAAGUCCCGCAACGAGCGCAACCCUUAUUACCAGUUGCCAUCAUUUAGUUGGGCACUCUGGUGAGACCGCCUCGGAUAACGGGGAGGAAGGCGGGGAUGACGUCAAGUCCUCAUGGCCUUUAUGUCCAGGGCUACACACGUGCUACAAUGGCCGGUACAAACCGUCGCAAACCCGUGAGGGGGAGCUAAUCGGAAAAAGCCGGCCUCAGUUCGGAUUGCAGGCUGCAACUCGACUCCAUGAAGCUGGAAUCGCUAGUAAUCGCAGAUCAGAAUGCUGCGGUGAAUACGUUCCCGGGCCUUGUCACACCGA
rnacentral:rRNA from 1 species